rnacentral:lncRNA from 1 species
UUUGGCCAUUUUCCCCGGGAAAGAAAACAUGACAAUUCAAGUUCCUGUUGUCCGUUUCUAUGGCUCCCUUGGGUCUCUCAGGGCAGCAAAAUUUUGAGGUGGGGGCAACUUCGGUCUGGGGUCCAUCCUUCGAUAUAACUAUUUUUUUUGCAGUCAGGUUCCAGCCCAGGGCCGGGGCCCCUGGGCACAUCCUUUGUCCUUUUACCCUGGGAAAGAAAAUUCACCAGUCCAAGUUCCUGAUGUCAUUUUGUGUAGCUCCAGUGGGUCUAUCAGUGCAGCACAGGUUUGAGGUGGGGACAAUAUUGGUUUCGGGUACAUCCUUUGAAGUAUUGACUUUUUGCAGUCAGUUUCCAGCCCAGGGCCGGGGCCCCUGGACACGUCCUUUGGCCAUUUUCCCUGGGAAAGAAAACUCACCAGUCCAGGUUGCUGAUGUCAGUUUGUAGGGUUCCCUUGGGUCUAUCAUGGCAGCACAAGUUUGAGGUGGGGACAACAUUUCGUCUCAGGUCCAUCCUUCGAUGUAUUGACUUUUUGCAGUCAGGGCCCAGCCCAGGGCCCGGCCCCUAGGCACACACAUUGGCCUUUUUCCCUGGAAAAGAAAACUCGCCAGUCCAGGUUCCUGAUAUCAGUUCUUACGACUCCCUUGGGACUGUCUGGGCAGCACAAGUAUGAGGUGGGGAGAAUUUUGCCCGGGGUCCAUCCUUCGAUAUAAGGAUUUUUUGCAAUCAGGUGCCAGCCCAGGGCCAGGGACCCCUGGGCACAUACUUUGGCCAUUUUCCCUGGAAAAGAAAACUCGACAGUCCAGGUUCCUGAUGUCAGUUCAUACGACUCCCUUGGGUCUAUCUGGGCUGCACAAGUUUGAGGUGGGGACAACUUUGGUAUGGGGUCCAUCCUGUGAAUAUAAGGUUUUUUUGCAAUCAGGUGCCAGCCCAGUGCCAGGGGCCCCUGGGCACAUUUUUUGGCCAUUUUCCCUGGGAAAGAAAACUCACCAGUCCAGGUUGCUGAUGUCAGUUUGUAGGGCUCCCUUGGGUCUAUCAGGGCAGCACAAGUUUGAGGU